UUUUCCACUGCCCUGACAGCAAUCAGUUUGUACUGGAGAAAUCACAAGAAGAAAAACAAAUCUGUACGUUAUAGAAGGAGGGAGGGUAGGAGUAGAAAAGGAGCCUCCCCUCUCUCUCCUCUCCCAGACGUGCAGAGCUGUGCUCCAGAAUCGAAGUACUUCCCACUGCUGGUGAUUGCUGGGCUGGGCCCCCCAGUGCUGGAGCCACCUGUGGGUCCCAGAGCCGUGCUGGCAUUCCCUGUGCAUCUGACACAUGCUUCCUCUCAGCCACAAACACCACUCCUUUGCUUCAGGAAGCAGCCAAAUGAUGUAGGCUUCAGUAGGCACUUUUUUACCACAUUUACCCCUUCUGCUCAUCUUUGCAAGCAAAGCACUAAACCUGCCCCCUGUUCUCAGCUCUUGCAUGUAGUGUUAUCCUUUAAAAAAAUCCUGCAGAGUAUUUAUACAGGAUGUUUUAAUCACCAAAGAGUCUGAUUCGUGUUCACUGGAUUAGUUUCAUAUAAUGUGAAGUUAUGUGAGUCUGUGUAUUUCCUCCUCCAUUUUCCUUUUCUCUCCUUUUUGUUGGGCCUCAGUAGUCUGGGAGGGAUGGUUUGCAUGAACCUUUGCACACAGUAGCCAAAGUACUUAUCCAGGAACCUCUAAUUCAACCAAAACUCCUUCGUUCUCGCCCCACCAGAGGAUUUAGGUUAGUAGCACUGCAAACAGGCUGUGCCUGACUGGCACCCUGAGCUGCUUGCAAGACUUGGGGCAAAUUUUUUCUUUGGGCUGUGUCCUGUAAAAUGAAAACUUUCAGCUUUGUCUACACAAAAGUGUUUUGAAAGCAGGGUGGGGGAGAACCCCUCUCUCCAGUAUUUACCAAUAUUAAACAUUUUCUUACAAUAAGUGCACAGAAUCCCAUAAUCCAAAAUAUGUACCAGAAGAAGUCACCUGUGCUCUGCAUGGAAUUUUUGUCCUGUUUUGGGCUUCUUGCCCUUGUAUCCUUACAGCCUUUUAUAUCUAACAUUCAUAAUAAUGGCCAUCUCCUUAGGGUCUGCAUGCCCAUCUUUUGGGUCUUGGCAGCAUCAAAAGCAUCAGCAUCUGUUCAGAAUUUCAUUCAUUGUAACAAAAGACUUAUAAGUCUCAAGCCUCCCUAACCAAGGCCGUAAUUAAAGUCUUUCUAGUCCCCUGCUUUGAAAAUUGUAACAAGAUUUGCUGGAAACAGAGACAGCACAUGGCCAGUGUUUAUGGCUGGUGCAGCACCAUUUUGAAAACCCACCCAUAAACCUUUCAAACAAGGCAGGGAGCGCACCUCAGCAGUGGCCGGCUGCUGCCCAGAGUUGGAAGCUGGUGCAAAGGCAGAGGCUGAGCUCAGCCUCCCAUCCCCCUGACACAGGCUCUUUCAGAGGCUGCCAGAAAUCAUUUCACCACUUUUAAGGUGCAUUGCACUUAGCAGGACAAAUGCCAGAGGAGGAAUUUUGUGUGCUUGAAUAAUGUUGUAAUUUACCUUAUAACCGGUCUCAUUACGAUGUUGAGUGCUCUGUUGAUUUACCUGGCUUUUGAUUUAGUGGACUCUUUUUAAACGACAGUUUAGGAAUGCAGCCAGUGACUGCAGGCAAAGGACCUUAAACCUUUUUGGAGGUACAGUCAUCUGUUCAGACACCGACUUUUUAAAAUCAAGAUAGACAUCAGACAGCCACACCAGACCCAUAUACAGAAAGCCAUGACUGAAUUAGACUGGGACAUUAGUUCAGAGAAAUAAUUUAAUAAUGAUACAUGCUGCAUCAGUGCCCCUUUGUUUCCUUUUGAGUUUGCCCCUUGCACAAACCCAAAUUGUUGGCAGGUAGAGGGCAGAACCCUUGCUGCUGGCUGGGUCGAUGUGCAGCAUCCUCCCCACAGCUGUCCCAGCUGAGGUGGGUGCCAGCAGUUGGCUGAAUUCCGUCUCUGUUGCGUGACCCUGGGGUCUCACCGUGGAGAUUCAGGAACUCUCUUCACAUGGCAAAACAACCAUCAACAAUGAAAAUACCGAUGCUCUGCAUUUCUUCCUGGACCCUGCUGAUGGAAUGUGCAAUGCAGGGUGGUUAAAAAAUAAGAGCAUGUCUAACUAUUUGUACUUGUGCAGUAUUGCCAGACUUGCAAAGAGAAAGUGACAAGGUUUUGUACCAGGCGCCAUAUUUUAGCUCUGGAAAUAUUUAAAGUUUCAGAAUUCCCCAGUUGCUGGUAUAGGGGCUGGUAACACAUAUUUUGCCUCAUUUGGAAGUACUUAGUAAGGGAAGGGCUCAUUGGGUACACAGGGACUCAAGCUGGCAGCAGAGCAGACCCUUUGCCUUGGGAAGGAAACAUCACAUUUACAAUGUCUGUGGCAGACUGGGACCUGUGGUAGGGAUCAGUUCCUGCACACUGUGGGGAUGGUGGCUUUCACCUCAUCCGUCCUCCAAGGCAUAGGAUCACACCUUCAUUUUCAGCCAGUGCAAAGCGUUUUUUCCCCAGAUGUCCACGUUUCAUCUGAAGGAGCAGGAUUGCUGCAGGAGGCUUAAUGGAAGCAGUGACUCAGGAAGAUGGACAUAAAGCCUGGGGUGUCUGCAUGUGCAGAAGUAUUGCUUCACUCAGCAGUCCAAGAGCUAGUGGUUAAGUUUGGAUGGUCAGGAGUCAGGAAAAGCUGCACAUGCCCUUCCAGUGCAGAAGGGACACCUUUCCCUCUUGCCUAGCCCAUAAGAUCUACAAUCCCUGGAAAUUCUGCUUUUAGUGACAGGUUCUGAAAGUUCUUCUCAUUCUCUCCCCUCUGCCAGUGCUUGGUCCCUGAGUUCAUCUCCCCCCACAGUCAGAGACCUAGAUUGAGCUGAUCUACUCCAAAGGCAGCCUGUCUUGAGCUGUGGUCACAACCAAGUGCCCUGUGAGCCCAAACAUGUACUUUGCCACCUUCACUUCUAUGCAUAUGGAAGCAUCUCAUUUUAGAUCCAAGGUUCUGUGACCCUGUGCACAGAGCAGGGCCAGCAGUGAGGUGCGCUUUGUAGCCUUCCUCUUUAUAACUGGGAACCAGCCUCUUUCAUACUUCAAGUUCACUGCUGGGAGCACCCUCACUGCCACGUGGAAUGAAUGACCCGAUGUGAAGUCCUGGAUUCCCUGGCAGCAGCAUGAGCCCUCUUUUCCAAUAUCUCAGCUGCACUAUUAUUUACUUGUCAGACUGCUGCUAUUCCUACUGCUUCUCAGCACCAGCAGUCUUUGCCUUCAUUAGUUUCCUCCUGCUCUAGUUCAUUAAACCUGCAUUUAAAUGUGCUAUUGGUUCUCCCUAAAUGAAUAACCUUCCAUUGUGUAAUAUUGAAUUCCUUUGUAUUAGCCCGUUCCCCCCAGUGUCUCCAAAUCCUCCUGUAGUCUAGUGCGUUCCUGAAAUUUAUCAGCAGCCUCCCCUCCUAUCAUGAUGUCAUCCGCAUCUGGACACCCGGCACAUCGCGCCAGCCUCGGGCUCAUUUGUGCAAAACCCUUAAACAGAACAAGUCCCGGCUCUGAGCCCCAGGAGAUCUGAUCUGUAAGUUCUCUUCUGGUGCACGGAGCUAUUUAUUGCACUUCUCUCUUCCCUAACCCAAGUUUAUCCUCCUAAUAUUGAUACUCCAAUACUUGUAUACAUUUUACUGACCUCAUUUUCUGAGGCAGAGUCAGUAACCUUGUUAAACUCUAGCAAACACAAAAACAUUGCUUUAAACUCUUCUGGGCUCACCUUCACAAACUUUAUGAAUAGGAUUUGGACUACUCUAGCAGCAAUUUUGACUAUGGCCUUUUGUGCCAGAUGCUUGCAUUCACCAGUCCCUGCUCCCCCUUUUCCCUGCACUUGCAGCAUGAUAGGGUAACUCAGGGGAUGAGAGGUAUUUAGGGAGAAAUGAAAUAUUUUCCAGGUUAUGAAAUGUGGUGCCAAGGUUUUAUUCCCUCAUUUGUGGCUUUGCCCUAUUGAGAAGCAUCCUUUACAUUUGAUGUAAAGUAGGUAAUGAAUUACAGUCCAAUGGUGUAAAGAAAUAUACUCUCCUCUGCUAUUAUUUUCACCACACUUUAAGCAGCCCAGCUUUUCCAAAGACAAGGGUCUUGAACAGGGAUGAAACUCGGAGCUUUUCAACCUAAAAGAUGAAAUGAUAGGAACUGUGUGCUAUUGGACAUGAAGGGUUAUAAUGGGGUUAGUGACACAGAUGUCUCCAGCUGCAAUGUACUGCAGCAGCAAUGACAAGGUUCAGGUACAGCAUUUAGUGGUGCCAAGGUCAUGGCUAAGUGACCAGGGAAUCAGGGGCACCUUGCAAUAGCUGUGGAAUCAGGGGCACCUUGGUGGUAGGCUGACUUUGAUCCCAACACCCAGCACGACAUUGUGCUAUCCUGCUUGCUGUGGCUGUCCAGGAAUGCUACAGACCUCGACUAAUUCUAAUUUCUCACAGAAAUACCCCAAGGAUGGGGAAUUUCUGAGAAGCACUUCAGUCAGGUUGGCAGGGACAGAAGCUUCUCUUUGCCAGAGGGAUCUUGAAAGGCUGGCAAGAGAUUGGGCUUUUUACGUACACCAUUUUCACAGCUUGCAUUUUGUCUCCCUCAUUCUUUUCACACCUCACUCCAUGCACAAUUAGAGUUUUCUUUACUGGGGUGGUUUGACUGAGGGGGCCAGCAACCCAAAAAGAAUUGCCAGACUCCUGUAGUUUGGUCGAGGAUAGGUUUGGUUGUUUGUGUACGGACAUGAUGUACAAGCUCAAAGCCUUUUUUCCAUUAGAAGCAUUCCUGUUUUGUGACAUCCCUGCAUGCUGAAGUAGCUAUCUUGAAGAGCAAAUGCUGAAAAUUAAAAUCUUCUUGAGUCAAGCCUCCUCAUUAGCAGUCUGCCUGGCUAGACUCUACCUUAUUAUUUUUUGCUGUGUGUAGCUGUAAAGAGAAAACCAAGGAGAAAAAUAGGCAAUUAAAAUGCAUUAAAUUGAUUUCUAAAUGAGUAUGCAGAACCAGAAAGUCCCAGGAAGAACCCCAUCUCUUCUUUUGCAUCUGUUGCUGUAUGUGAGAGUGCAAAUUCACUAGCAGCUAGAACAAGACACAUUUGCAAACAUUAGCAGGGUUAAAAUUCUAUCUGAGAUCCCUCUGAAUCUCUGAAAACUAAAUGUGUUAAGUCAUUGCAGUUGCUUGGCAUGCACUGUAGAGCAGGACCUUCCAAAAGCCAUGGAAAAGUUUUUCAGGAUGAACACAGCCCCAGCAGUCCAAAUAUGAGACUCUCCCCUCCGCAAAGGCAGAGAAUCCUUUUCCUCAUUGCUAAGAAAAAUGCCAAAAAGCACCUCAUGAUUCUUCUGCUCCAAACGGUGCUCUGGUGCAACAGUGAAACUGCGAGUGUUACGAAACCCCACAACGUCCCAACACCAGGCUCUGCGUUUGCACUGUGCCUCAGGUCUCAUCAGCAGACUCUUCCACAUCAAGUUAAUGCAGAUCCAUCAAAUGCAGGCCUGGAAUAGUUACAGAAAACUAUGAAGAUGGUACAAAUUAAUCUCUUGUCCCUUGCUUCCGGGACUUUCAUUACUAUCUUCCUUCCAAGAGUCCAAUUAGAUUUCAGAUUGCUUUUUAAGCACACUGAGUAAACGAUGAAAUUAAAGAAACCUCUUAACUGCGGUGUAUGAGAAGGAGGCUGCCCACAGAUGUGCGCGUGGUGCAAGAGAGAACUGCAGGGACAGAGCUGUGCAGACAGGAAUGCCUUUGUUAAGCUACGAGGCAGAGCAAUGGCAGAACAACCUCCCGGAGCUGGGUCUAUCCACCAGGCUGAUUCUGGGGAAGGCAGGUGUGGAAAGACAGACUAAAGACUGGAGCUGAAGAUUGUUUCAUGGAAUUGUUUCACAGAAAUUGCCUUUGGGACUUCAGCUGAAGAAUCUGUCACCAGAGGUGAGUCUUUGAGGUGAAAGCCACUUGUGUUUACUGCUCAGGGGCUGCUCCCUGCUUGCUGCCCAGCACUGAUGCCCUGAGCAGUCCAUAAGAGCUGUGCCACAAUGCAAGUCUCGUGGUGUUUCUCAAGUUACAUGAGUCAAAGCUGUCAAGUCUGUAAGUCUGGGAUUUGGCUCCAAGUUUCACUGGCUGCACUCCAAGAAGUGGCUGCAGACCAAUUUCACAGAAGCGGCCAGCAACCCCUAGCAGGACAAAGAAAGGCUAUUUCCACCCACCAUAGCCUCUCCUCCUCCCCACAGAAAGUUCCUUCACUGGUUGCUGUGCUGCAGAGCUCCAGCAAUACACAGAUCUGGGAGCUCCUGUAACUGUUCUCGGAGUGCCAAGAGGUAGAGAGUGACCCACAGGGUAAGGCAGACUGAGACCUCAGAAACUGCGUGCAUGGGCACAGACGCACACAGGAGUAGCCCCUCUUUCAGAGUUAGCUGGCUAGCUAGACUUGGUGGCCUCAGGGAAAAACUUAGUCUGGCAGAGGUGUUUGAAGGAUGUCCGCUGCCUGGGUACAAAGCUCAGUGCAAGACUACUUGUGUCCUGGGAUUGGUUUGGAUGAACAGUAUUUAAGGUUGGUAUCAGUGGCAGAUCAGAGGAGGGUUAAGGCAGGGUAGUAAGACAUCCAUUUGGGAUAACUGUGAAGGGGCCAAAGCAUGGGCUCACAUUUUAGUGAUGAGAGUCUUUCAGGAAUGUUGUUGUGAAGGUCUGACGUGGAGCAGGAGAAGGCAGAGAAGGGCUAUCGGAACGCUGGUUCAGUUCAGAGGCCACACCACAAUGCUGGGUCUGGCAGAGUAGCCCUGUGGAGGCCAUUGAUUCAGAAGUGGUGAGGAGGGGAGUGUUUUGCUGAGAUGGAACACCCUGUCCUGCUAGGAGCAUGGGAUCGUGUUGCUUCUGAUGCUUGGCACUAGUGGUCAGCAAAUCUGGCAAAAAGUGAUUAAUGAGGGCCCCAACACAAAGUCUGUCCCAACCCAGCUGCCUCCACCAUACAGAUGUUAUCACAGCAAACAUUUUGUGGGGUGUUAAGGGCUUUUUCUCCUCCCUUCAUCCAAUUAAAAGUUCAAUAAAAACCACAAGCUUGCCUUAGAGGGCAAGGCCUCUGAAUACCCAAGCCUUUGGUUUGAAGCUAGCCUGGAUGAACUGCUGGCAGAAAUACCUCCACCUUUCAACACCCCCACUGGUAAAUAAAUUAGCCUGUCACUGAGACUGCAUCCUCAGUGGCUGCACUUCACAUCACUGUGGUGAUGAUGUUUGACAGUGACUGAAUUGGAAAGAAGCUCUUUACAUAACAGAUUUUUGUCUCAUCUAAAAAAUUUAAGGAUUUAAAAAUUUAAAAUUUUUACCGUUCAGGAAACUUCCCCCUCUGUGGAAACAGUUUUAGAAAACGAGCACCAUGUGCUUUGAAAGGAUUUUUUCCUUAGUUGUGAUGACCCUGAAUGUGGAAUUUUACUUAUUUGUUGGCUUGCAUCGCCCUCUUCUGGAUUGUAUAAAAACACCAGAAAGUUUCACAAGAAACUUGCCCGUGGAAAUAAACUAAAGCAAAACUCCCCAUGUUUAUUGAUGCUGACGCUUAUCUACUUAAAAGGAUCAAUCAUUCAGACUGGAACAGUGCCCACCUUUGGAAAGCAGGGAUGCUGAAUGGCAAGAGAAACGAUGCAGGAGUUGCUUCCCACCGGGUGAAAGGGGAUGGUGGCUGUGAAACUGGGUUGGCAUGGAGAGCUUGUACAGACAUUCUCUCCCCACUGCCGGCUCCCUGGAACGAGUGUACAGCUAUUUUGGUCACUACACUGUGCUAAGAAGCUUCAGUUCUCUCGCUUAAGUUCCACAGGAACUGCUUCUGACAGUGCUGCCUGUGCUUUCCAUGGACGAGACUAACAGGUGUUUGAGCAGUUCUCGGGCUGGAACACAGCUACAACAAAGAGCUGAUGGCCGGGGAGCUCCGGGAAGGGGCAGGACAGCAAGUCACCUGCUCAAACCUGCCCAGACGCAGCACCAAGGCACAGCUGUGAGCAGGACAGAAGCCCCUGUAGGUGUAUUUCCUGUACUCAGAAGUGCACAUAUUUGUGUCAGAUUGCAGCAAUCUGGAGGAUGAGAAGAAAAUUGAGUGAUGGGUACGGAAUUACACCAAAGUUAACCAGAUAACUUCUAGAGCAACCAUGUCUGAAUAUAGCAAAAAUUCACACUUUAUUUUCAUGUAAAAAAAUUCAAAUCUAAGUGAAGUGGUCCUAAGGUGAUGUGCCUCAAACAAGAAGGAUGAUCAAUCUCAGGUGAAAAGUGAAGAAGUCCUUCCUUCAUGCCAUGUGUAAAUGACACUGUCAAGCCCCCUCCAUGUCAGAGAUUUUAAAUCAGUAGAUUUACCACCUUGAUGAAAAUUCUUCUUCUAAGAAAAAGGUAACAUUUCUUUCCUCCCAAGUCAUGUCAGGGACAUCCUAGGACCUUUCUCCUUACAGAGAAAUCCUAGCCUUAUCAUCUCACUCUCUCUCACUAUUACUUGUUGUAUUUUCUCACUUCCAUACAUUCUCAGUGGUGGCAAAACUUCUUCUCUUAUCAGUGUCUUAAUGAGUAAAGGGGGUCUUUCUGUCUCUCUGAAUAACCUGUAUCAUUAUCUACAGUAUCCUACUCUGCUCCAUAAUGUGAUACCAACACCAUUAUCUAUUUGCUGCUCAUAUACUGUGGUUUAUUCCCUUCCAGCUGAUCCUUUUGGUCGCCCAAUUUAAGAUUAAUCAAAAGACUGAAGGCCUGUACAACUUGCAAGCAGCUCCCAUUUUUUCUUUCUCUUAAGAAGAGAUAAAGUUCCCACAUUUUUUAUGCCUGGGAAAAGUAUCAAACCAAGAAAGGAGGGACACAAAGUAGAAGAGCUGUGAGAUGUCUGCGACUCAAACAGGACUGGCAGACUUCUGCCUCCAAAGGCAUUUCCAGUGUCUGACCAGAACACGUAAAAUUGUGCACUUUGGACAUCUCUGCUGCUAUGCCCUGAGGUAGCUGCCUCUAAGGCAGGCUUUGCUGUAAGAAGCCUUUCCCUGCUUCUGCAGCAAUGACUCCAUCACUCACAGUGAUGAUACGUCUGAACUGGCAGAGUGAGUUACCUGCGUGUCAAGAAGAAAGACUCCUGUGCUGCCGUGUACCAGAUCAGUGACUGUGGCUGGCUCUGUGUUACAGCUGAGCUAUAACCUUGCUCUCCCUCCUCACCUGCCAUCUCCAAGUAAUUGCUUUUGGACAGAUGGCAAGAUGGCACCAUGGUUAUGUGACUGCAGCUUGACUUUUUCCCACUCCCCCCAAAUCUGCUUCAGGUUAUACAAAGAGAGCUUAUUUUUCUCCUCCCUGCCUCCCUUCUAGCUCUACAAACCAGUUUACACAGAAUUAAAUUGUUUCAACAACUGGAGAACUGCUCAGGCUGGGGACUUCUUUCACCCCUGUCCCAACAUUCCAGUGGGCACAGCUGAACCAAAGCACAGAGGGACCAUGCUGUGGUUGCCCUUAUGAGGGUAACAUGACAGUGCAAAUGUUGUGUGACAGCCCAUCCUGGUCAUUCCUGGUCAGGAGAAAUCAAAUCUCUUCUAAUGCAAGCAGAGCCAGCCCGAUACCCAAGCUAGGCAGAAAUGCAAGGCAUUUUGACUGUCUGGAAUAGUUUCUUUCAGGCAGGUGUUCCCAAGAUGGGUUGUUAAAAACAUAAUUUCUCUCAGUAGUUCCAGACAUUCAGGUGUGAGUCUCACAGACAUCUUAAAAGGUUUACUUUCUUAAAUAUUUUUUUUUCAAAUAAGAUUUGCCAUGUGGGUUUCUUGUUUGGUUUUUUUCUUCUAAGUUGCUGUCAGCAGCAACUAAGGUUUUUUUUCUAAGUUGCUGUCAGCAGCAAAUUUCUUCCUUCCACCUCUUAUUUCAUGGAAUCAUACAAUAAUUGUAAAUUAAAACACUUCAAGAGUCUUAAACCUUGAGAUUAACUAUAACAUCCAAUUUCUGAGCAAAUGUAUGGAUAUCCUUAUAUGUUGCUUUCAACUUUCAACCCUCCAUGUAUUAUAAUACCAAAAAUGAUGUAAAAGGACCUACCAGAAUUAAAACUAGCCAUGCAUGGGUAGGAAGGUAAUGUGAAGACUUCCAGCUAGGUUAUUUUAAAAUAUCAGUUUAAUAAUUUGGUAACUUGAAAUAUUUUACUAUUUUCUCAUGUGAAGAAGAUUAUGCAAGAAAUUGAAAGGCAGCUAUAAGCAAGGCAAAACCACUACAGCCACAGGGUAAAAGUUUCAAAGCCAUUCGCUUUUGUUUCCCUUCACCUCCUUCCUAGAAUUCAAUAAAAUUGUAUGUGCUCAGGUUUGUUGCAUUUAUUUAUUUUCAAUCACAGAUUGUCUACAAUUGCUUUAGUUGCAUUUGGAUAAGUGUAAGUAUGUUCUAGACCACAUCUGUGUCACCUGUCCUGCUCAUGACACUCACACAGAAAAUUACCUUCUACAGCUGGGAUCAACCCCAUUCAGCUGGGAUCAAGAUAACCAACAGACAUAUUGAAGCGACUGUCAUGGAAAAGUCAAUACCCUAAUGAAGGGAAAAGGAUCUCUCCUUUCCCUCUGUUCAUCAACUACAUUGGAAAUCUAGGAGUUCAGCUCACGUGCUUAUAAAACAUGGUCCACGUAUUGUUAUAGAGACAUGAUUACCAUUUCAGAAGUACAUAUCUGACAUAGGACUUCACAAAAGUAAACACUCAUUUAAUACCAAGAAAAUCUAAGGUCCUUCUGGGUGUAACUUGCAGAGCCAAGGCCUAAAUCUGUUUAUGUAAGCUGAACCUCAAAAGCAAGAUGCGAUGCAUAGAUGGAAGACGACCAACUCUGAGCUUGUGCUUAUCUCCCAAAUCUUAUGCAUAUGGUUGUGAGCCCAGAACGUGUAAGACAAAAAAGUCUGAAGAAAACACCACCAACAUUUCAGAAGAACUGCACACCAGUGACUUUCUUCAUUGUUUAAAAGUAAUCACCACUUAUUGGGGAAAAGAAAA